CUGUCAGGCAGUGGCGCUCCACUGUAUGGGUACAGCCCUAUAGUGCAGCAGCCUGAGAACACUCAUUCGCUCCACUUUUCCUCUUGCUUAGGCCCUAUAUGUGGAGCCAUCUGGACGUGGAGAGAGGGAGUCAGCUGCUCCACACACUGAGGCGCGGAGCCUGAAUCCGUCUCAGCUCAUUCUGUGGGAUCAUCUGCGUGGUGGGCUUACACCGUGGAAAAUGCGCUCUCCAUCAUUAGUUAAAAUCUCAGGAUAAAGGACAUCGCUUUUCUUACUUCAUCAUCCUUUGCUCCAAAUCAACAACUGUCUCAAAGGAGAACCCUUAAUGGUGUUUUUUGACAUUAACAUUUCGGAUUAGAUGAACAGACCAAGGUAAAAUGUGAGCAGGAGAAGCAAACGGUAUCAUCACAGAGAUCAUAAAAUGGUGUCGUGAGUAGUCUUUUGUCCGGGACCAUAGGAGAGUUCUGUUGCUAAAGGGAAGGACAAAAGCAGAAGGCACCACGGGUAUAAGGUUCCCCUGAGCAACAAUGCUGAAAGUUUCAACUUGCAGCACAUGGGUGUAACUUUAACUGGAAUACUGUGGAUCAAAGACUCACAAACAAAGUGGGUGGAAAUGCUGGAGGAGUGUCUGUGCUCAAGUGAAGGACAGGUUCACUAGAGAGAAAGCGGGAGAGACCAUUUAUGAAACACAGACCAGGCAAUCAAGGCUAAUUACUGAGACUGUGUUUUGUGAACUCAAAGGGCAGCAUGAUUCAAUUAACAGAAUUGAUGUGUAUUAUAAUUUUUUCAUUUUGAAAAAUAAAAUUACCCUAUGUACAAAACCAAACUUAAAUUGAAUUGAACAAAGGGAUUUUAACUUUGUCACUGCUUCAUGCACACUUAAUUGAGAAGAGGAUACACAGUAGAUUUUGUAUUGCAUCUCAAACAUUCAUUCUACACUCCUGUCUUCGCCUGUCAUGUGAGAGAAUUAUUCAGUUCUGCUUCUUUAAAUAAGAAACAUAGCCUUGAAAUUUGUGGGGCUUAAGGCAACUCAUCAGGUUAGAUCAGUGCAAUGUGGAUGUGUAACCUUUACACUGCAGUUGAACCUGCACAUACAAGUGUUAUGAAAGGUCCCUGUGGCACUCUGCUCUUCUGACAUGGAUUUGAAGACUUGCCACUUUAUUAGCUGCUAAGCCCCCAAUACUUGUUCUAUAUAGUGGAGGCCUAUGUUAUGAGCUGGGAUCUCAUUGUCUUGCGUUAUUAGAGGAAGAGUCUGCAGCACUCUCUUGUCCCCCCGAGAGAAUAGCCUGACUGUUUGAAGGGAAGCUACAAGUGCAAUUUAACCCAUCUUAUUUACAAUAUGAUCUGUUACAAGGACAUCAUUGCUGCCAGGAUUCACAUCUUAUAUAUCCCCUCAAUGUGAUUUUUUUAUGUUUUCAUUGAUUCGAGUAGAUUUUGUUUGAUGUUCACUUGAGCCUUUAAAAAAAAAAAAUCUCUGAAUCCAUCAGGUUAGAGUAGACUUGGAGAUAAAGUGAAAACUUUAGUGAUGUACACUACUCCAAUUCAGUAUGUUCAUAUGUAUCUCACUAUGGCAGUCAAAAUCAAAACAAUUGCUUUGUGCUUAAAGGUCAAAACAGUUAAUUAAUAAAUGUGAGUGGAUAUGGAGUUUUCAUGAUAACAUCAACAUCAACUCGGGGAAAACAAGCAGUUUGUGAUCAUCACUUGUGUCAGCAGCGCAUACUUAUCCUCCAAAAUGGAAAUUAUCUAUUGGCAUUGAAUAAUAAGUGCCAUAGUGCCAUCUAGUGCACAGAUUUGCACACUGAAAAAUGACAGUCCCUGUAUGUAAAAUAUACACAAUGCAUCUUACAUGUGUAGGUAUAGAGCCUCAUUGAAGAGGUACUACUGGUACGUUAGAAAUAAUACAAAGUAAAGGAUAGUGCACUAUUUACACUGAUUGCUUGGGUGCUUCAGUGUGAGGUUUAACUACACUGACUGACCACACUGAAAAUUUCCACUCAUGGGGGAAAUAAACACAGAGACAAUGGUUUGUCUUCCAAGCCAGGUCUUUGACAACACUCAGUUGUGGAAAGCCGCAAGGAUAAUCUGCUUCAGACAAUGAGACAAUGUUGAAGGCUGUGCAUGCAAAUUAUGCUCUGCCAUCUAAAUUACAAAGACAUACACAGACCUCAAGUCAUCAGGCCUCAUAUCUCACUCAUCGGGCCUCCUGGCUGUUAGGUUGCCAGAGGAUGCUAUAGAAACAACAGAACAGAAAUAAUAAGAAAAAACACAGGAGCCAAAACAAGAGUCUUGAAUAAUUGAUUGUGUUUGUCUUUACUGUUUGUGUGUGUGUGUGUGUGUGUGUGUGUG